CAACCUGUUGCUUGCUACUGUGGCUGCAAUGCACUUCAACCUGGAGCUGUUGUAUGGGCUGACUGUGAAACGGCGAGCUACCCAUCCUACCAUGAUCAGACAGUUCCUCUCCAUGAAGAAUGCUUGAGUAUUUCAUUGAGUCAACAGACAACAAUUCAGCCUCACUUAAGUUUGUCCAGAAAAAUGCAGUGUACAUAUUCAUUUGAGUAGCCUGUACAGG